rnacentral:lncRNA from 10 species
AAGAUGAAAAUGGAGCUGCUGUGGCUUACUGACUUAGCUUAGCCCAAAGAAAUACCAUAGCACUUAUUGGGACAGAGUUUUUAAAACCUGUAAAUGCUCCCUCCCUCCCUCCCUUCCUCUCUUCCUCCCUAGCUUCCUUUUUUUCUUCAUUCCUUGCUUCCCCCCCUCCCCGCCUCUCCUCCCUCUCCUCCUUUCCUUACCUUCCUUACUUCCCUCCCUCCUUCCUUUCUUCUUUUCUUUCUUUUACUAACUCAAUCAUUUACUUAUCGAUGAACAUUUAUUUGGCAUCUACAAUGUACCAGGCAUCACAAAUAAUAUAAUAAUAUUAUUUAUUAUAUUAUUAUAGUAUGGUGAAUAGGAUAAACACCACUAGGUAAAACCAAACAAAAUGCAGUAGGGAAUCAGGAGAGAGUGAGGCGACAUCUAGUUACCUCACUAAAUGUUUCAGGAAGGAGGGGUUUGAUCAUUAAUGAUAGUGCAAAAGAAUAGCUUAAUGUUUGGCCUUUAGGGCUGUCUCCCAUGGCUAUACUAAAGUGGAUAGGAGGUAAAUAGCAUGGCCUUAAAUAAUUCCAUUUCUGACCUCCAUAUAAAUUGUACUGUGGCUUAACAUUUGUUGGAUAAUUGAGCUACAGACAUCUCUGCAUAUAGUUAACAGUUUUAACAUAAGCAUUAAAAGAGAACAAGUACCAAUUAGAGGUUAAAUCUGACUUACUUACUUAUUCAUUCAUCCAUUCAGCAAAUUCAGCAAAGCAGAAUGGGAGAAGAAAAGGAUGGAUAAGGCAAUUGGGUACUCAUUUGCAAUUGUGGGCAUCAAUAUAACUGACCUGGCAUAUAAUCUACUGGUCAGC